rnacentral:tRNA from 1 species
UUUAAUAUGGCAGAUUAGUGCUAUGAAUUUAAGCUUCAUUUAUAAAGUAAAUUUACUUUUAUUCAUU